CAGUGUAGACGUGAGAAAACAUGGCAGAGAUGGAAAACGAUUUCCAUUUUCCGAAUCUGCGCCUUCAGCGCAAAAUGCAUAGAAUCUAGAUUCUAGAUCUAGAUUUGGAGUCUCAAGAAUAGAUUCUAACACCGAGUUUGAAAAUCAGGAGCAAAUUAUACAGGCGCAUCCAAGACAACUUUAACGUUCAACGUCAACGAUCUAAAAUCUAGAAAUCUAGUCUAGCGGGAGAUGAACCAGUUUCAACCCUGCUACCUGUAAUGAGGAAGAUCGUUUGUGAACACUCAGCCUGGUCCAGUAAAGCAACACACAAGUGUCAGAAACGAGUGAAAGGAGAGCAUUCUUGGUCCACGCUGCUGAGUCCUGAGAGUUCAGACAUUGACGUUAUCAGCCGCACUUCCUCGUUCCUAAGACCACAACCUGGGCGUCUCGGGCACAAAUUAUGGUCUCAGGGAAAAGCGCGUGUCCCCCCACCCACCCCCGCUCUCAGACUGGAACUAGAGACCCCCAAGGACCUGGGUGAUCACCGUCUGGGCCACAGGGGAGUCUGGCAGGUGUCACCCGUCCUGAGGCUUUGUUUUAUGAGACUUGUGCACUGAUCGACUCCUGGCUUUUCAACUGGGGUCUCGACACUGACUGCUUCUGUGGAAAAAAGGAGAGAGAAAAGAGCUUCUGUCACAUUGAACUGUUUAACAGUUAUAGGCGUAGCCCGACCCUCAGAGGGGUGACUCAAUGUGUACUGGAGAUGUAACAAAAGGUUAGUCAGUUUGACCUUUUCCGCAUACAAAUUAAAACAAAUUAUGCAAAUCAGAUUACAAUGGAUAUAUGGGGAAUAUGGGGAUUUCAUUGGUAACAAAAGGUUAAUCAGUUUGACCUUUUCCCCUUACAAAUUAAAACAAAUUAUGCAAAUCAAAUUACAAUGGAUAUAUGGGGAAUAUG
rnacentral:lncRNA from 1 species